CAUACGUGGUUCUUAGGCAGGGAACCAGCUCCUUCAUUCCUCCUUCUUAUCUCCUUCUUCCUCUCUCUCUAGAAACUGUUCGAAGGGGUUUUGAAGGAAGAAAUUGGUGGAGUUUGGUUUUGAGCUGAGAGAAAGGUCUACAACUGAGAAGAAAACUUGUGGGAGCAUCAAAUCUAAGGUAGGUUUGCUGUUCUUUUGGAUGGGGUUGUGAUAGCUGCUAUAUAAAGAGGGGAGUUUUGGAUCUCUUAGAGGUUACAACUUGCUAUUAGCAUGUAGUUCUAUGAAGAAACCUAGUAGAACUAUAUGAAUUCAGCUGGUAGCUGAAAUAUGAGAUUAGGUGAUGUGAAUUCCUGGUUAAGAGUGAUGUUAUUUACUCUAUAAAAGGGUGGAACAAAAGAAUUCUUGAUUACUAGAGCCUUUAAUUGCUAUGAAACCUAGAAGACAAGCCAUAUGUCAUGUGUAUGUAGGUGUAGUAUACAUGUGAAUGGUUGUUAGAAGUGAGACUUGAGAUGAAGGUUGCUAUUUCCAUGAUAAGUUUAGAGUAAUUACUCUAUAGAAAGGUUUGGCUUGGAGUUCUUUGAUGCUAGUAUUUAUAAUUGUCAUGAAAACCUAAAGAGAAACUAUAAUAUAUCGAAUCUCCAACUACAAGACUAACUUUGAUCAAAGUGGUCAAAGAAUGAAAGAAUAUAAAUGAGUUAGUCCCCGAGCUAAAUUGGUCGUGUGGGGGUAACUAAUUACAAGUUUAGAAGGGUUUAAAGGGGUUCGGAACGAAGUGGAAGUAUGAAAUUAUAUUGGAACAAGUGCUGCCAGUGCAGAUUUUGCACUAAAAAGCUGCAGGGAUUGUUUUGUAAAAGCUGCAGGGACUGUUUUGUAAAAGCAAAAUUCCUAUUUUUUGGGAGGUUUUAGGUGCAAUUGCUACUGCUGCUGUUACUGCUGAAUGCUGCUGUUGUUACUGCCGAAUACUGCUAUUGCUGCCGUUAAAUGCAAAAAGCUGCAGGGACCUAUUUGUAAACAGCAAAUUCAGCCUUGUGGAGUGAGUUCUUGAACGUAGUUUUGAGCUGAGAGGGAGUUAGCACCCCUUCGAGGUCAGAUAAGAGUAUUCCUGGUUAGAGUUAUGAUAAUUGUUGUAUAAAAGGGUUGAACUAUGGAUUGUAUUGACUUCUAGAGCUUAGAUUAUUAUGAUAAAACCUAUAAUCAGCUAUAGGUUGAAUAGUUUGCAUGGGAAUUGUUAGUAGAAAUAACACCUGAUGAGAAAUGAUGCUCUAUUCCUGGUUCGAGUUAGGAUAAUUGCUCAAAUAAAAGGGUCUAAGCUAUAAGCUAUGGUUGCUAAAGCUUCUAAUUGCCAUAAGAAAUCUAUAACGAGCUACAUGUAUGAUGUGCAUGUGAUUUCUUGCUUUGAAAUGGAACCUGAGGUAAGUGGGUCUUAAUUCCUGAUUGUGGUUAGGAUAUUUAAGCUAAAAGAAAGGGUUUAAGUUAUAGAAUUUGGAUUUUUAAAGCUUAAAGUUGCCAUAACAGCUUAGACAUCACACUAUGUUAAUAACAUGUAUGUAAACUUGGAUUAAAUGUAAGAGUUGUUGAAACAUGAAUUAAAGUGUAGCAUGAGUUUGAUCUCUUGUAUUCCUAGAUUACUUGAUUAUGAGGUUCUUAGAGUUAAGUUACUCUAUAUAUUUUGUGAAGUUUGUAUAGUAGCAGAUUGUAUGGAACUUUAACUCGAAAAUGCUAAUUUGUAGGAUUGGAGGCUUAGUUCGAAAUUAACCGCGUAAAAUCCUAAUUGAGAAUAAAACUCAUGAGUUGGAAAACUUGGAUCAACGUUCCGAUUAGCCUAUGGCAAGCUAAUGAGAAAAAAUCUCAUUUUAGCUUCGUAUGUCGCGAGCGAGGAUUGUGAUUGUUCAUAAAUUGCGGGAAUUGGUUUUCUCGCAUCUCGAUAUCAUUUAAAGGUGGGUGAUGCUUUCUGAAAUUAUCGAAUGACCUAUUAUGUUUAUAUCACUUUUAUUGAGCAUACAUGGAUUAUACAUGUUUAGUUGAUAUUCAUACAUGAUAGAGUUGUGAUUGUCAUAUGGUAAAGUGCAAUAUGUGUUCUAAUUGUAUGCUUUGGAAGCAAAAUGCAUGUGGACAAUGACUAGUAAAACAUAGAACUCUAUAGAUGUAUGAAUUUGUAUUGGACUAUUAAAUAGUGAUAAAGUGACAUUGUUACACUACAAGAAAAAGCGGUUCUAGAGACGGUUCUCUAGAGGCGGUUUUUAUAACCGCCUCUAUAAAAUCAUAUUAGAGACAGUUUUGAGGCGGUUUUUAAAAACCGCCACUAUAAAAUCGUAUUAGCGGCGGUUCCCACAACCGUCUCUAUAAAAUUGUAUUUUAAAAAUCCGCCACUAUUAGAGGCGAUGUUAUAGAGGCGGUUGUGGGAAUCGCCUCUAUAAAAUCGUAUUAAAGGCGGUUUAGAGGCGGUUUGUAAAAAAACCGCCACUAUAAUUCACGUAUUAGAGACGGUUUAGAGGCAGUUUUUAAAAACCGCCUCUAAAUAUAAUAAAAAAAAUCGAAACCCUAAAAUGUUAAAAUACCCCAUGUUUCCCCCUCAUUUUUUCCCCCUUUUUUUUCCCAAGGAAACCGCCGCCCCCACCUCUUCCCUCUCCUCCGACUCUUCCUCCUCAACACAUCCUCCUCUUCCCCUCCCCCCUCACUUCCAUCACUCGCCCGCCUCCACCUCCGCGCGUCGCCUCCUCUAACUUUGCAGCCGCCGCCUCUAGCUCCGCACGCCGCCUCCAGGUCCGCACGCCGUCGCCUCCAGAUCCGCAACCGCCGCCUCCAGAUCCGAACGCAGCCGCCUUCAGAUCUGCGAUGGCCGCCUCCAAGACCGCGCGUCGCUGCCUCAAGCUUCGCGGCAGCCGCCUCCAACUUCGCACGCCGCCGCCUUAAGCUUUGCAGCCGUCGCCUCCAGCUCCGUACGCCAUCGCCUCCAGCUUCACGACCAUCGCCUCCAACUCUGCGCACCGCCGCCUCCAGUUUCACAGCCGUGCCUCCAGCUCUGCACGCCGCCGCCUCCAGCUCCGCGGCCGCCGCAUCGGUCCCCACCCUCCUCGUGAACGCUGGCAGGUCCCCUUACUGAGAGUCAUCCACAGCGGGGGAGGCUAGGGAUCGCGGUAAGGGGGUCGCGUCUAGCUAGGCAUAGCUUGGAGUUCCUGUUAGGUGGUUGCCUUUUCUUUAGCUAGCUGGAAAGAUGUUUUGUCCUGGAUGUAUAGUGACGACCCUGUGUUGUUGGUUGAUUACUUUGUAGCUACUUGAUGUAUAUUUGUACUUUGAAGAUGUUAUGGUUGUAGUUCCACUUUCUUUUUUACUUGUCAUUAAUUAGAGAGUAGAUUAUGAUGUA